rnacentral:rRNA from 1 species
GAGGAGGACCUGAGCAAAAUGCGAGAAGCAGCGAAACAAGCAGAGCUUGAAUCGGAGG